GCCAUUGCGGCUUUGGCUACAAACGAUACUGUUGGCAGAGCGAUGUCUUAUCUUCAUAGAGCUAUAGAGGAGGAGCGGUACCGCGAUGCGGCCUUCAUCCGAGACAAUGCUGGUGCCGGGUUGGCUGGUGGUCUGGUACUUCUAAAGACAAUAACAAUCCUCGUGGCCUAAUUAUUCGAAUAACUGCUGAACAUGGAAGAUACGUUGCAAGAAGUUACAGUCCUCGGCAGCUUGCUA
rnacentral:misc_RNA from 1 species